AUUGAACGCUGGCGGCAGGCCUAACACAUGCAAGUCGAGCGGAUGAAGGGAGCUUGCUCCUGGAUUCAGCGGCGGACGGGUGAGUAAUGCCUAGGAAUCUGCCUGGUAGUGGGGGAUAACGUCCGGAAACGGGCGCUAAUACCGCAUACGUCCUGAGGGAGAAAGUGGGGGAUCUUCGGACCUCACGCUAUCAGAUGAGCCUAGGUCGGAUUAGCUAGUUGGUGGGGUAAAGGCCUACCAAGGCGACGAUCCGUAACUGGUCUGAGAGGAUGAUCAGUCACACUGGAACUGAGACACGGUCCCGACUCCUACGCGAGGCAGCAGUGGGGAAUAUUGGACAAUGGGCGAAAGCCUGAUCCAGCCAUGCCGCGUGUGUGCAGAAGGUCUUCGGAUUGUAAAGCACUUUAAGUUGGGAGGAAGGGCAGUAAGUUAAUACCUUGCUGUUUUGACGUUACCAACAGAAUAAGCACCGGCUAACUUCGUG
rnacentral:rRNA from 1 species